UGGGGAAUAUUGCACAAUGGGCGCAAGCCUGAUGCAGCGACGCCGCGUGGGGGAUGACGGCCUUCGGGUUGUAAACUCCUUUCGCUAGGGACGAAGCUUUUUGUGACGGUACCUAGAUAAGAAGCACCGGCUAACUACGUGCCAGCAGCCGCGGUAAUACGUAGGGUGCGAGCGUUGUCCGGAAUUACUGGGCGUAAAGGGCUCGUAGGUGGUUUGUCGCGUCGUCUGUGAAAUUCCGGGGCUUAACUCCGGGCGUGCAGGCGAUACGGGCAUAACUUGAGUACUGUAGGGGUAACUGGAAUUCCUGGUGUAGCGGUGAAAUGCGCAGCUAUCAGGAGGAACACCGAUGGCGAAGGCAGGUUACUGGGCAGUUACUGACGCUGAGGAGCGAAAGCAUGGGUAGCGAACAGG
rnacentral:rRNA from 1 species